rnacentral:rRNA from 1 species
GACAGAGGUCUCAAGCGUUAGGCGGAAUCACUGGGCUUAAAGCGUGUGUAGGCGGAUCGUUAAGUGUCUUGUGAAAUCCCACGGCUCACCCGUGGAACUGCUGGGCAUACUGGCGAUCUUGGGCCAACUAGGGGCAACUGGAACAAGCGGUGGAGCGGUGAAAUGCGUAGAUAUCGCUUGGAACGCCAAAGGUGAAGACAGGUUGCUGGGGUUGUGCCGACGCUGAGACACGAAAGCCAGGGGAGCAAACGGG